AACGAACGCUGGCGGCGUGCUUAACACAUGCAAGUCGAACGCGAAAGGGACUUCGGUCCCGAGUAGAGUGGCGCACGGGUGAGUAACGCGUAAGUAAUCUACCCUGUAUCUGGAAUAACCCACCGAAAGGUGAGCUAAUACCGGAUACGUUCAGACUGGUGCGAAUCAGUGUGAAGAAGAUGGCCUCUUCUUGAAAGCUAUUGUACAGGGACGAGCUUGCGGUACCAUUAGCUAGUUGGUAGGGUAAUGGCCUACCAAGGCAACGAUGGUUAGCGGGUCUGAGAGGAUGAUCCGCCACACUGGAACCUGGGAACACGGACCAGACUCCUACCGGGAGGCCUGG
rnacentral:rRNA from 1 species